GGAGCGGUAGUUCAGUUGGUUAGAAUACCUGCCUGUCACGCAGGGGGAGCGGGUUCGAGCCUCGUCCGUUCCGCCA
rnacentral:tRNA from 1 species